rnacentral:lncRNA from 1 species
UUAGAAUAUAUAUUAUCUUCAAAUCAAUGGUUUUCUGCUACGAUUACUCAAUUUGUAAAUCAUCAAUAUCUUAAAGAUUUUGUAGAAUUUAUAGAUGCAGACGAUCAAGCUUCUUUAUUGUGCAAUCCAUUCAUUGGAUUCAUUUGCUGAAGUAUGUAUAAAAAGCAAAAUGAAAAAUUUAGCAGCAAAUUAAUACAUAAGUUCAUAAUGAGACUUAUAAAUUGCGGUAAAAAAUGUAGAGUUUGGG